rnacentral:rRNA from 1 species
ACGCUGGCGGCACGCCUAACACAUGCAAGUCGAACGAAGUAGUAAUACUUAGUGGCAGACGGGUGAGUAACAUGUGGGUAUCUGCCCUUUGGCCUGGAAUAACACGAGGAAACUUGUGCUAAUACCGGAUAAGUCUUUACGGAGAAAGCUUUAUGCACCAUUGGAUGAGCCUGCACUUGAUUAGUUUGUUGGUGGGGUAAUGGCCUACCAAGACUGUGAUCAAUAGCUGAUUUGAGAGGAUGAUCAGCCACAUUGGGACUGAGACACGGCCCAAACUCCUACGGGAGGCAGCAGUGGGGAAUCUUGCACAAUGGAGGAAACUCUGAUGCAGCGAUGCCGCGUGAGUGAAGAAGGCCCUUGGGUUGUAAAGCUCUUUCGUCGGGGAAGAAAAUGACUGUACCCGAAUAAGAAGGUCCGGCUAACUUCGUGCCAGCAGCCGCGGUAAUACGAAGGGACCUAGCGUAGUUCGGAAUUACUGGGCUUAAAGAGUUCGUAGGUUGUUGAAAUAGUUGGUGGUGAAAUCCCAGAGCUUAACUCUGGAACUGCCAUCAAAACUUUUCAGCUAGAGUAUGAUAGAGGAAAGCAGAAUUUCUAGUGUAGAGGUGAAAUUCGUAGAUAUUAGAAAGAAUACCAAAUGCGAAGGCAGCUUUCUGGAUCAUUACUGACACUGAGGAACGAAAGCAUGGGUAGCGAAGAGGAUUAGAUACCCUCGUAGUCCAUGCUGUAAACGAUGUGUGUUAGACGUUGGAAAUUUAUUUUCAGUGUCGCAGGGAAACCGAUAAACACACCGCCUGGGGAGUACGACCGC